rnacentral:rRNA from 1 species
CUUGUGCCUAAAGUCUGCUUUUUCCGUAGGUGGAACCUGCGGAAGGAUCAUUA